rnacentral:rRNA from 1 species
UACGAAGGGGGCUAGCGUUGCUCGGAAUCACUGGGCGUAAAGGGUGCGUAGGCGGGUCUUUAAGUCAGGGGUGAAAUCCUGGAGCUCAACUCCAGAACUGCCUUUGAUACUGAAGAUCUUGAGUCCGGGAGAGGUGAGUGGAACUGCGAGUGUAGAGGUGAAAUUCGUAGAUAUUCGCAAGAACACCAGUGGCGAAGGCGGCUCGCUGGACCGGAACUGACGCUGAGGCGCGAAAGCGUGGGGAGCAAACAGG